GCGAGACUGUAGGCUGCCGCGCCCCAAGUCUCUUUCGAAACCCUAGGGGAGGGGGUGGGGGUGCUUCCCGGUGUUCCCCGGUGCUCCUCGGUGCUCCCCGCUAUCCCGGCAAUCUGGGACGCGUGCUCGGCGCCCUCCCCUAGUCUAGCUGCUCAAAUAAACCCGACCUAGGGUUUCUCGAAGGAAUGAGUAAGCCUAAACCUCAGUCCCCUGCUGUACAGGUCUGGGAACCGCUCUCCCAAGGGAGAGUCGGGCCGAGUUGAUUAGGGGCCCACCGAAAGUCGACGCCCAGCGAGCAUUUGGAUGCCGGCCGAUCCCGUCGAGGGAACCGAAAAUAAAAUAUUUAAGUGCAGACUGUUGUGUGUUGUCGUAGUUACACUGGAGGCAAAUAGAAGACUGUGUGGCAAGUGGCUUGUAUAUGCGUCCUGGCUAGAGAAACGUAUUGGGUAGGGUUAAUAUUAACUUAAGGACUCAGGACACAGAUUGCCUUGGACAAAGUACUGAUGCUGGCCAAAGGCCCUUCCCUCUGACCCUUUCCUGAGAAGAGGUGCUGUAUAGGCAAUUCAUCUACACUCUUUGCCAUCAUGUACACAGUUUCUACCUUGAAGCCCUGUUCUACUUUGGAGUCCUGUUGUAAAGCCAAAAUAAUUACUGGGAAGUAUUUUGCCUAUGAAAGCCUUGACAAUUUUGAGGAUAAAUCCAUUUGCUGUUCUUAAAAUUAAUCCUGAUGACAGAUCUAGAUUUCCUGGUAGAAUAAGCUACAGCUAUGAUACUGGCCUUUAAAAAGUAUUUUGGUCAUCGCAUGAUGUCUUAGAGACCCACAAGGAAAACCCCAUAGUGCAUCCUUAGCCGCAUUGUGUGGUCACUGUUGGGGUAGG